rnacentral:rRNA from 2 species
CCCCGGUAAACGGCGGCCGUAACUAUAACGGUCCUAAGGUAGCGAAAUUCCUUGUCGGGUAAGUUCCGACCUGCACGAAUGGCGUAAUGAUGGCCAGGCUGUCUCCACCCGAGACUCAGUGAAAUUGAACUCGCUGUGAAGAUGCAGUGUACCCGCGGCAAGACGGAAAGACCCCGUGAACCUUUACUAUAGCUUGACACUGAACAUUGAGCCUUGAUGUGUAGGAUAGGUGGGAGGCUUUGAAGUGUGGACGCCAGUCUGCAUGGAGCCGACCUUGAAAUACCACCCUUUAAUGUUUGAUGUUCUAACGUGGACCCGUAAUCCGGGUUGCGGACAGUGUCUGGUGGGUAGUUUGACUGGGGCGGUCUCCUCCUAAAGAGUAACGGAGGAGCACGAAGGUUGGCUAAUCCUGGUCGGACAUCAGGAGGUUAGUGCAAUGGCAUAAGCCAGCUUGACUGCGAGCGUGACGGCGCGAGCAGGUGCGAAAGCAGGUCAUAGUGAUCCGGUGGUUCUGAAUGGAAGGGCCAUCGCUCAACGGAUAAAAGGUACUCCGGGGAUAACAGGCUGAUACCGCCCAAGAGUUCAUAUCGACGGCGGUGUUUGGCACCUCGAUGUCGGCUCAUCACAUCCUGGGGCUGAAGUAGGUCCCAAGGGUAUGGCUGUUCGCCAUUUAAAGUGGUACGCGAGCUGGGUUUAGAACGUCGUGAGACAGUUCGGUCCCUAUCUGCCGUGGGCGCUGGAGAACUGAGGGGGGCUGCUCCUAGUACGAGAGGACCGGAGUGGACGCAUCACUGGUGUUCGGGUUGUCAUGCCAAUGGCACUGCCCGGUAGCUAAAUGCGGAAGAGAUAAGUGCUGAAAGCAUCUAAGCACGAAACUUGCCCCGAGAUGAGUUCUCCCUGAGACUUAGAGUCUCCUGAAGGAACGUUGAAGACGACGACGUUGAUAGGCCGGGUGUGUAAGCGCAGCGAUGCGUUGAGCUAACCGGUACUAAUGAAC